GCCGGUAUAGCUCAGUUGGCUAGAGCAGCUGAUUUGUAAUCAGCAGGUCGUGGGUUCGAGCCCCUCUACCGGCU
rnacentral:tRNA from 1 species